CCUACGGGGUGCAGCAGUGGGGAAUAUUGGGCAAUGGGCGCAAGCCUGACCCAGCAACGCCGCGUGAAGGAAGAAGGCUUUCGGGUUGUAAACUUCUUUUCUCAGGGACGAAGCAAGUGAGGGUCCCUGUGGAAUAAGCCACGGCUAACUACGUGCCCGCAGCCGCGGUAAUACGUAGGUGGCAAGCGUUACCCGGAUUUACUGGGUGUAAGGGGCGUGUAGGCGGGGACGCAAGUCAGAUGUGAAAACCCUGGGCUCAACCUGUGGCCUGCAUUUGAAACUGUGUUUCUUGAGUACUGGAGAGGCAGACGGAAUUCCUAGUGUAGCGGUGAAAUGCGUAGAUAUUAGGAGGAACACCAGUGGCGAAGGCGGUCUGCUGGACAGCAACUGACGCUGAGGCGCGAAAGCGUGGGGAGCAAACAGGAUUAGAUACCCUAGUAGUC
rnacentral:rRNA from 1 species